GAUGAACGCUGGCGGCGUGCUUAACACAUGCAAGUCGAACGGAAAGGCCCAAGCUUGCUUGGGUACUCGAGUGGCGAACGGGUGAGUAACACGUGGGUGAUCUGCCCUGCACUUCGGGAUAAGCCUGGGAAACUGGGUCUAAUACCGGAUAGGACGAUGGUUUGGAUGCCAUUGUGGAAAGUUUUUUCGGUGUGGGAUGAGUUCGCGGCCUAUCAGCUUGUUGGUGGGGUAAUGGCCUACCAAGGCGUCGACGGGGAGCCGGCCUGAGAGGGUGUAGGGCCGCAUUGGGCCUGAAAGACAGGCCGGAGUCGUACAGGAGGCAGCAGGGGGGAAUAUUGGACAAUGGGCGCAAGCCUGAUGGAGGGACGCCGCGUGGGGGAUGACGGCCUUCGGGUUGUAAGCUCCAUUCGCUAGGGAAGAAGCGAUUUUGUGACGGUACCUGGAGAAGAAGCACCGGCUAACUACGUG
rnacentral:rRNA from 1 species